rnacentral:lncRNA from 1 species
UCAAUUCUAGGCCAAACCGCAAAUUCCAAACCAUGAAAAUUAUUGUCCACCUUCAGUUAUAUCUUUUUCACAAUUUUCAGACCAUUCCACCAUCGAAAACAUCAACCCCGAUGUUUUGAAAAACUCCGCCGAGCUUCAGUUGCCGGAAAUGGAGUUUCAGGGUUUCAAAUGGAACAGAACGAAUGCAAAAUUCUUGACUUUCACUAGAAAUAGAGAAGAUUUGGGUGAGAUUGGUUCGUUUAAGUUCUGUGGAAGCACGAUAAAACACAUCCAGUUCUUCAGUCGACGAACGUAGAAUAUAUUUCAAUCUGGGUUCAAAAUUUGGUAGGAUUUGGUAGUAUUCCUCUGAACAAAUCUGAAAAUUCAAAAGGAAAAUUUCACCAGAAAAAAUUACCGACAUUAACUAAGAUCAAAUAUGCUAUCUGUCACUUAUUUUUUUAGCCAUUUUCGUUAUUCCUACACUUUCGUUGGCGGAGCGCUUUUUAUUUUUCAGACAAUCUCGGUUGGUAACCAUGGUGUAGGGGGAGAGAGAGCGGAACCUGAUAACGUGUGAAAGAGUAGGAGAAAAAGAAUGAGAAAAGAAUUUAACAAGAAAUAUUGAUCAAUCAGCUCUGAGAAACAGAUGUAAUUAAAGUGUUCAAAUAAAACUAACGAAUGUGUAAGUGAAGAACGGGACAAUUUUAAGGGGCUCUCGAUAUAUUUGGCCUAAUAAAAAUAACUUUAGUAAAUUAUUCCUUAUAUUUAUUAUUUUUAAAAUGAACGUAAAAGAGCGAAAGUA